CUCUCCCAGUGGAAUCCCACAGACCAUGCUUAACCAGCAUGCAUUUGUUGCUUGCUGGAGUAGUCAAGUUUUAUUUCUGACAAGUCUGCAGUUCCAGGGAGCCUCUCCCUGGCUGAGUAACUGUCACCCAUCCAUCUGUAGAUGUCAGGGAGAGUUUGCUGUGCAUCCCAAUAUGAGACAGAGGACAGAAACAUGUUUACUUUGUUGAAUGUGUUUAAUUGUUUUAGAUGUAUGGGGGGUAUCUUGGAGGAUGGGUUACAACCUGUCUUUUUUUUUUCUUUUUUGAGACAGGUUCUCAUUCUGUCACCCUGGCUGGNNNNNNNNNNUUGGCUUCGACCUUGGAGGGAGUAGGGGGGUAGACAGAGUCAAAGGUAUGAGGAGGCUGAUAGGGGAUUCACCCCCAUAUCAAGCUGGGAGCCUGAAAGGCCUCACCUUGGGUGAAGACAGAAGAAGAGAUAACCCUGGCCCCU
rnacentral:lncRNA from 1 species